UACGUAGGGGGCAAGCGUUGUCCGGAUUUACUGGGCGUAAAGCGCGCGUAGGCGGAAGUUUAAGCGGGGCCUGAAAGCCCCCGGCUCAACCGGGGAGGGUGGCAUCGAACUGGACUUCUUGAGGGCGAGAGAGGAGCGUGGAAUUCCUGGUGUAGCGGUGAAAUGCGUAGAGAUCAGGAGGAACACCCGUGGCGAAGGCGGCGCUCUGGCUCGACCCUGACGCUGAGGCGCGAAAGCUAGGGGAGCGAACGGG
rnacentral:rRNA from 1 species